rnacentral:rRNA from 1 species
CACGUAGGGGGCGAGCGUUGUCCGGAUUUAUUGGGCGUAAAGAGCUCGUAGGCGGCUCAGUAAGUCGGGUGUGAAAACUCCAGGCUCAACCUGGAGACGCCACCCGAUACUGCUGUGGCUAGAGUCCGGUAGGGGAGCAUGGAAUUCCUGGUGUAGCGGUGAAAUGCGCAGAUAUCAGGAAGAACACCCGUGGCGAAGGCGGUUCUCUGGGACGGUACUGACGCUGAGACGCGAAAGCGUGGGGAGCGAACAGG